rnacentral:miRNA from 1 species
AUGUGACACUUUUUGAAUUUCGAG